AUUGACGGACUGAAGGCUCUUCUCGAUUCCGUGGAAAGUGGUGCAUGGCCGUUUUGGUUGGUGGAUCGAUCCGUCUGGUUAAUUCCGUUAACGAACGAGACCUCGGCACUCCGAAUAGCGCGGCGGACGUCGCGGCCUCCGGGCCGUCUUCCGCACGAGCUUCUUAGAGGGACCGUCCCCCGCCGGGGAAGGAGGUGCGAGGCAACGACAGGUCUGUGAUGCCCUUAGAUGUUCUGGGCCGCACGCGCAUUACACUGACGCGUCCAACGGGUGACUCCCGACCCGAAGGGGCCGGGGAAUCCGCAAGGCGCGUCGUGAUGGGGAUUGAACGUUGCAAUUGUUGUUCACGAACGAGGAAUUCCUAGUAGGCGCGGGUCAUCAACCCGCGCCGAUUACGUCCCUGCCCUUUGUACACACCGCCC
rnacentral:rRNA from 1 species